GUAGUAUACCAUAUCACCCUGCAACUCACAACUGGCAACCCACUGAAGCUAAGCAGGUAUGAGCCUGAUUAGUACCUGGAUGGGAGACCUCCUGGGAUAACUAAGGUUGCUGCU
rnacentral:rRNA from 1 species